CGUAAAGGGCUCGCAGGCGGCUUCUUAAGUCUGAUGUGAAAUCUUGCAGCUUAGCUGCAAGCGGUCAUUGGAAACUGGGGAGCUUGAGUACAGAAGAGGAGAGUGGAAUCCACGUGUGGCGGUGAAAUGCGUAGAGAUGUGGAGGAACACCAGUGGCGAAGGCGACUCUCUGGUCUGUAACUGACGCUGAGGAGCGAAAGCGUGGGUAGCGAACAGGAUUAGAUACCCUGGUAGUCCACGCCGUAAACGAUGAGUGCUAGGUGUUAAGGGGUUUCCGCCCCUUAGUGCUGCAGUUAACGCAUUAAGCACUCCGCCUGGGGAGUACGGCCGCAAGGCUGAAACUCAAAAGAAUUGACGGGGACCCGCACAAGCGGUGGAGCAUGUGGGUUUAAUUCGAAGCAACGCGAAGAACCUUACCAGGUCUUGACAUCCUUUCGACCUCCCUAGAGAUAGGGAUUUCCCUUCGGGGACGAAAGUGACAGGUGGUGCAUGGUUGUCGUCAGCUCGUGUCGUGAGAUGUUGGGUUAAGUCCCGCAACGAGCGCAACCCUUAAUCUUAGUUGCCAGCAUUUAGUUGGGCACUCUAAGGUGACUGCCGGUGACAAACCGGAGGAAGGUGGGGAUGACGUCAAAUCAUCAUGCCCCUUAUGACCUGGGCUACACACGUGCUACAAUGGAUGGAACAAAGGGAAGCGAAGCCGCGAGGUCCAGCAAAUCCCACAAAACCAUUCUCAGUUCGGAUUGCAGGCUGCAACUCGCCUGCAUGAAGCCGGAAUCGCUAGUAAUCGU
rnacentral:rRNA from 1 species